rnacentral:lncRNA from 13 species
AUGCUUCAGAAGCACUUCACAAAGGAACCUGGGAUGAGGUUAUUCCAGAGUUACUGAAAGUCAAGCCUUUAUAUGCAGAACAGAUGAGAUUAUCAGAUGCUCAACAAUAAAGUUAACUGUACAGCACAGGACAGCACCUGCCCGUUGAGAACAUGCAUCAUUGGAUCCCCUCACUGUAAUCAUUAUCAAUCACUGCUGUGGGUGGGUGAGUAGGUGUACAUUAAUAUCCUUCUCUGUGUUUUAGCCUCCAGAGGUUUUUAAUAGUACAAUAUCAAAUAGAAAGAGAGAGAGAGAGAGAGAGAGAGAGAGAGAGAGAGAGAGAGAGAGAGAGAGAGAGAGAGAGAGAGAGAGAGAGAGAGAGAGAGAGAGAGUGAGUUAGUAAAGCUGAAGGGUUAACAGGGUGAGGGAUUAUGACAGCAGAGUAAAGAAUACGUCCCAAAUGACAUCCUAUUCCCUAUAUAGUGGACUACUUUUGACCAGAGCCCAAAAGGUAGUAGUGUCCUAUAGAGGGGAUAGCGUGCCAUUUGUGACG